rnacentral:rRNA from 2 species
GCCUUCUGUCUGAAUCAUGUUUAUAACAAAUGUUAAAACUUUCAACAACGGAUCUCUUGGUUCUCGCAUCGAUGAAGAACGCAGCGAAAUGCGAUAAGUAGUGUGAAUUGCAGAAUUCAGUGAAUCAUCGAAUCUUUGAACGCACAUUGCGCCUCCUGGUAUUCCGGGAGGCAUGCC